rnacentral:rRNA from 1 species
CCUGAGAAACCCAAAAGAUCGAAUGGGGAGAUUCAUCGUCAGCGAUACUGGUACGUGUGCGGUUCGCGAUGUCGGGGACUUCGGUCUCGUGGCACGCGUCCGCAUGUUUUUAUUGCCUGGUGUCGUCGGCGUGCACUUCUCCCCUAGUAGGACGUCGCGACCCGUUGGGUGUCGGUCUACGGCCCGGGUGGGUGCCUGUCUCGUGUGCGCUUUACGGUGUCACUGCGGGGCAGACCCCCGGCUGCCCGACCGGCUGCCCGGCGGUACUCGCAAGGUAUCUGGCCGCAAAUAUUCGAACUGCGUCCGGCCCGUCGCAAGCGAGGCAAGUGUUUCCCGAAUGUACGGAUCUAAUGCCGUCAUCGGGCCUGGCCAGCUGUUGGUUGACGGUGUCCUAGGACAGGCUAUAACAAUUAUGAUACCGGUCGGCGACGCUACUGCUUUGGGUACUUUCAGGA